rnacentral:rRNA from 1 species
UGGUAAACGGCGGCUGUAACGUUAACGGUCCUAAGGUAGCAAAAUUCCUUGUCGGGUAAGCUCCGUCCUGCAUGAACGGUGUCACGACUUCCCCAAUGUCGCUAGUGUGAGACUCUUUAUAAAUAGAAAUAUCCAUGAAUAUGUGGAACGCUACGGCCCGACGGUAAGACCCUGAGCACCUUUACUUCCCUU